GACGAACCGUGCGAACGUUGUUCGGAAUAACUGGGCUUAAAGGGUGCGUAGGCGGGCUCGAAAGUCAGGGGUGAAAGCCCACGGCUCAACCGUGGAAGUGCCUUUGAUACUGCGAGUCUCGAGGGAGGUAGGGGCGUGCGGAACUUCCGGUGGAGCGGUGAAAUGCGUAGAUAUCGGAAGGAACACCGGUGGCGAAAGCGGCGCGCUGGACCUCAUCUGACGCUGAGGCACGAAAGCCAGGGGAGCAAACGGG
rnacentral:rRNA from 1 species